rnacentral:rRNA from 1 species
UUAAAUUGAAGAGUUUGAUCAUGGCUCAGAUUGAACGCUGGCGGCAGGCCUAACACAUGCAAGUCGAACGGUAACAGGAAGAAGCUUGCUUCUUUGCUGACGAGUGGC